CCUACGGGAGGCAGCAGUGGGGAAUAUUGGACAAUGGGCGAAAGCCUGAUCCAGCCAUGCCGCGUGUGUGAAGAAGGCCUUUUGGUUGUAAAGCACUUUAAGCGAGGAGGAGGCUACCGAGAUUAAUAUUCUUGGAUAGUGGACGUUACUCGCAGAAUAAGCACCGGCUAACUCUGUGCCAGCAGCCGCGGUAAU
rnacentral:rRNA from 1 species